ACACGUGCGUGUCCAAAGUAAAAUUAGGCUUUCCUGUUGAUUUAACACAGUUGGAGAUUGAUGAGUGCUCUGCUAAGCCGCUUAACUCAUUCAAAAUGUGUGUAUUAAAAUAUAAUAUGGAGCUGCGAUUUGUAUUUUUAGUAUUAUUUGUGCUUGCCGUCUUCACAAGUGCUCUGCCGGCUGAAUCAGGUUCGCAACCAAUGAAAAGAGAUGUUGCGGAAUCUUUCAAGAAUGCAUGGAAUGGAGUCGUGAAGACUCUUAGUGAUGCUGGCGAUGCUGUCGUCCACGUGUUUAAGCCUACUGAAAAAAGUGUCAUCGACAAAAUGGCUAGUGGUCUGAAGGAUUUGAUAGAAUAAUCGCUCUUUAAUUUUUAGACACUAUAAAUUAUUAUAACUAUAUAUAAUUGUCUACGUCAAUUUUCGGGACAUUUUUGCCUAAACAGUUUUUUAUAUGUGUAUUUCUCAAAGGUGAUGGCUUGUCUUAUUUUUGUAUCUUUUAAUUUUAUAUUUACGCUGUUUUAAUAAAUCUUAAGUGGAAUGCUUUCAUAAACACCAAA